GUGACAUUCUUGUCCGGUGUAUAUGUAUUGGUUACCUGAACCUUGUGCUGUUGUCAACUGGUGGUGUCGGCUCAUCACACUAAGUAUCUUUCUUUUGUGAACUUUAACCGUUGUCUACCUUAGAGAAUUUCAUUGUUGCAACUUGAAACAGAGAUGGAAGUCAGCCAGGCCCAGGUUUGGAUAGAGGACACCCCUCUGAGCCCCUUCAGGUCCCAGGAGUGUGGUGGACACUGCUGAGGCAGAACACACAUUGCCAUGGCAGCCCCAGUGAUAGGGAAGUUGACUGGAAAGACAAGUGUUUUGCAAGCCUGGACAUAACAAAUAUCAACACCAAAUUCCUUGGAAACUCAGUUUCUAGUGUAUAUGGAGUGCAAAAACAAUAAAAAGAUUUCAGAUAUAAGGAACACAAUUUAAGCACAACUGGAGGAGAACUAUCAUCAAGUGAUCAGCUAAAUGUGUGAACACAAAUUUGACUACUUUUUUCCCUAUAAAUGUGUGAAUAACUGUACAUUUAUCCUUUCAUUCAGAUGAAUUUGCCUGAGUUGCUC